UUCGGCUCUCUCUCUCUCUCUCGAUCCUCGAUCUCUGUGUGUGUGAUUUGGGGAAGGGGGUGACUGGUUACAUCUAAUCUGUGUGUGCAUUUGCCUGAGGGUAAGGUAUAGGGUUUUCUUGUCAAUCAUUGAGGAGAACGAGCAAGAGGGUUUAGCUUCUUCAGCCCUAGUCAGGGCGUUAAUGGAUUUUAAGACGAAUUAUAGAGCAAGAUCUGGGACUAAUUCGAGCUUAUCCAAAGGAAAAGUUCUCAGUACAGUUCGAUCCUUGGAAGGACCCAUUACCACUGGUCUACCGUUGCUAGAUCAUCCCUCAUGCGGUACAGAGCCGAGAAAGAAAAUGUCAUUUGAGCUUGCAAUGAAGAGGGAGCUGGCAUAUCGAAGGAAAAUGGAACGGUUGAAUUUGCAGACUCCAUGUAAACUCUAGGCAAGCCCCUCUGCGUUCCCAGGACUGCCGGCUGGUGGUUCAGAUAACUGUUUAGAAGUGGUCCUACUCUAGCGAGGCAUCCACACAACAAAAUUGGCUAUAUUGGGUAAUUCUUGUCAUCUGAUAUACGAAGCCCCUUUGGAAAGUUGGGAUAAAGUCCUCCACAGUCUGGAAAAAGACAGGUGUGUAUUCUCAUUUUUUUAGGAGAAUUAAUUUAGUAUAUAUUAUAAAUGUACUUGCAGUUGUUUUGGUGUCUUUAUUUUUAGCAUGUGUCAGGCCACAGUUCAGAAGUAAGCAACC